GAGAAGGUAGUGUUAAUCAAAUUUAUAGAUGUUGGGAAAAAUGGAUACAUUUGCACUUACAAUAAUGAUCACUUGAUUUAUGAUGUGUCUUUUAGGAGAGAUAUUUACAAGUUUUCUAUUUUUUUCUUUCCAGUUAUAAGGAAACCAGAUUUGUUUCAUUUUCUUCAGUUAAUGAAACUCACUCAAAAGCAUAUGUUGGGGUUCAGUGAGAUAAGAAACUCUCUCAGCAGAGGUGUAUCCAGAACUCAGGAAGACCUGGAUCUUUGUUUUGUUCAAGGUCAACAUGACACUAUCAAGAAAUACCUGAAAAGGCCACUGGAUCAUGAAGGCCCUAACCUUACCACCUGAUUAGCCACUCAAUUUGGUCAAUAUUGUCAACCUGCAAGCAACCAGGUCCAGAUGCAGAUUGUGAGAGUUCAGUCAUCUUAACAGUGUCACAGCACAUGGGACUGCUCCUGAGACUGGAGGGGGACUGGGACAUCUGGUAGGAGAGAUGGAAUAGGUGAGAUAAUUGUGCCAUCUGGGAAUGGUGCAUCUUCACCAGAAGGAUUCUGGACAGACAUACAUGGAGGUACUUUUUUAGAUGUCAUUAGACUUUAUAAUUUUGGCUAAUACCACAGGUUUAAAAAUUGGCCUUUCAAUGCUAUUGCAUAUUAUACUUUUAAAUUAUAAAUACACUUGAACAUUUUCAUUUCUCCUGGCCAACCCAUAUUAUUUUUAGUAAAUUGUCUAUGCAUAUAUUUAAUCCAUUUUCUUUUAGUGUUAAAUGUUUUUUUUAUAAGAAUUUUGUAUGUGAAAGAUUGAGAGCAGUAUAAGAAUAGUAUAUGUAUUUUGUCCUGUAAUCU
rnacentral:lncRNA from 1 species